GUGUUUCACUAUCUAGAGCGCUUAGCGCAAAUCUGGAUAAAACAAUGUUAGUUCCUUUCGAUUCGUGAAGUUUUUACCUCGAUCGAAGAUCUACAGCAUUACCCAUGUAUUUAAGAAGUUAUUUAAGAGCAUAUUAAAUCUUCAUGAUUGCCAGUGUACUCAAAUCACCAAGCACAUUAUUAGAUUGCGUGGAAUAUUUGAAGACAAAGGAGAGGAGAGGUAGUGAAAAUUGGAGCAGAUAGAAUGACCAUGCAGAGCAGAUAGAAUCAUCAUGAACACAGCAUUGCAUUCCCUUAUUUCCUUCACAUUUCAUAAUGCUUAAGAAGGUUUUUUUGAGUCCGCUGAAAUCCAUAUAUCAUUCUGUUCAAACCAAUGUUCCAGAUUACCAGAAGAUGAUUGAACAACAGAACGAGACAAGGGGUUGUAAUGAUAACUAUGUCACUCCACCAGGUCCAUCAAACCGACCAAAUUAUAGUGAUUUUGCUACACCUAAAUUGUCAGUUAUAAAGACCAGAGUUAAGAGAACAGGACAACAAGGUAGGAAUUAAAAUGUGUAUUAACUGUGUAGGUAAACAUUGUUAUUUAGCACUCCCAUCCUCUUUUACAAUGGCUGUGUGGUCUUUGACUUAUUAAAGUGUUUUUUGUUGAAUUGACUUGAACAAAUAUGCAG
rnacentral:lncRNA from 1 species